rnacentral:lncRNA from 1 species
UAUCCUACAACCAACUAAAAUCUACUAACAUGGCUCUUACUAUGUUACUUAAUAAAUUAUAUAUUAAGUACAUAAUUACAUUAUUUUCAUAUAGUAGCCGAACCACAACACGAUACCGCUUUGUACUUACGAUCUUGUAUCCACUGACUGUCUUGUUAGAUUAAUCCAAUAAAUUUCAUUCACUCCGCAUACUCAAUCCUAUAGACACCCUUUUAAUUCUUCAAUCACAGACGUAACUCGAUUUCACAAAACAGUCAAGAGUAAUCAAA